UACGUAGGGUGCGAGCGUUGUCCGGAAUUAUUGGGCGUGAAGAGCUCGUAGGCGGCUUGUCACGUCGGUUGUGAAAGCCCGGGGCUUAACCCCGAGUCUGCAGUCGAUACGGGCAGGCUAGAGUUCGGUAGGGGAGAUCGGAAUUCCUGGUGUAGCGGUGAAAUGCGCAGAUAUCAGGAGGAACACCGGUGGCGAAGGCGGAUCUCUGGGCCGAUACUGACGCUGAGGAGCGAAAGCGUGGGGAGCGAACAGG
rnacentral:rRNA from 1 species